UGAGUCCCAGUAAAGUUGUGGCUGAGUGAGAGAUUUGAUUUGGCAUGUUUAUAGUUGCAUUGCAUAAGGAUAAGAAGAGUGAUGAAUAUCUGAUCUUUCUGGUGCUUAGAUUGAUUGGUUAACGCUAUGAUGAUGUCCAGUUCCGUUAUUAAUAUUACUAUUAGGGUUCCAUCUCUUCCUCUUUCUCUGUCAUCAUCUUCUUCUUCUUCUAAUAAAACAUUUCCAAACACAUUCUUCUUCAAAUGCCGCAGCAGCAGCAGCAGCAACAACAACAACUCGGAUGAGAACGAUUUCAAAGACGCACUGUCUGGAAUGAUGGGCGAGCAAGUUGAAGAGCUAUUGAGCAGACAAGAGAAUAAGAUUUUGAUGGACAGGUUAGAGAAGGCAUCACAGAGAGUUGAGAUUGCUAGGACUGAACUUGCUUUCAUUGAAAAACAGGAACUUGCUCUAAAACAGUUCAAGGAUUACACUCAACAGCUUGAAGGAAAAGCUUCCCAGAUUGCACAAAGUCAAAGAGAAAUUUCUGAGGCAAAAGCCAUGCUUCAGGAAGCAGAACGAUCUCUCUUGAUAAAUGAAGAACAAGAAAUUGAUCGUGAUGAAGAGAGACUGGAAUCACUAAAAGCAGCAUCUAUCUCUGCCCUUGUUGGCACUUUCUCAUGGCUUCCCAUAUGCUUCGCUCAGUCCACCAACACAACUCAACUGCUUCUCUCUUUGGCAAUCAAUUUCAUAUCUUGUGCAUUGUUUGGAGUCACUUUUCGAUACACCGUAAGGACAAAUUUGGAUGAUUUUCAGCUUAAGACUGGGGUUGCAGCAGCUUUUGCUGUUGUUAAAGGUCUCGCAAUCCUCAGUGCUGGAUCACUUCUUGAACUGAACUUCGAAAGCUUAUUAUCGUAUGCCUGGGAUGGAACAAUUUAUGUGUCUGAGAAUCUUGUCAUUUUUCUUUCUGCUGCUAUUAGUCUAGAUUAUUGUUUAAAGACAAGACUUUUGAGCCCUUUUCCAAUUGAUAGAACAGGUUAGUGGCAAUUAGAAUUAAUUAUCUAAUUAUCAUAGCCUACAUGGACAUCGAUAAAUUUGUUGCUUUCAUUUCGAAUUAUUAAGUUAAUGCCUUCAUACACCAAAGAAAUGAUAAACAUUGAAGACUAUUCUCACCGCAAAGAAAAGCUGCAUAGCAUACUGAUUUUGGAAAAACAACUAAUAUGUUAUGAUUAAAAGUGUUUGAAAACGAAUGCUCUGCUGCCUGACAACAGUGGGUAAUGCCUGAGCUGAAUUUUCACGGGAGACGGGGUGAAUAUAUUUUCAUGGGAUUUCCUCAAGUAGAACUCUAGCCUUAGCAAAGUAUUUGGAGAGAAUGAAAGAGAGGAGUUAUGUUGUUGACUUCUUUCCGUAAUUUUGAGUUGUAUGCAAGCUGAAAAUAGUUGCAAUAGCUUGAUAGGAAUUAGAAUUGAAUUGGCACAUGUUCUCAAAUUAUGGCAUGCUGGAAAUGGUAUUGUGAGAGGAAUCUGUGUUUGAAGUUUCUCUCAUAACUGGUUCAUUGACAGUGGGAGAGUAUCAGGGUACAUAAAAUUUAAGUUCAUGGGUGAAGAAUGGGCAUCAUGAUUAUGGAUUGAUUUGGUUCAGCAUUACUGUGUCAUUCUUCUUGAGCUGAUAUGAGAUUUUGUGUUCCUAUGUGUUUGAUGUUUCCUUCAUUAAUUAACUGCACUUUGUAAAAAGGUCCUAUUUUGAAUCCAAUGAUGUUUUAGUUAGAGGAACCCAUUUGAAGUAAAUUAAAAAAUCAUAUUACUUUUUGAUGAUAUUUUUGGGGUUAUGUGCUUCCUUCUUUACGGUGCUCUUCUGUGAUGCCACUGGAAUAUGACUACAUCGACUUAUGCCACCGGAUUUGACGACAAACCAAUCUUGGAUCAGUUAUUGGGGAGACAUUUCUUUGUGCAUUGUACGAGUUCUAAUACUAGUCAGUUAAUAAACAUAAUAAGGAUGAACCCUUUCUUUACUUUAUCACAAUAGUGGCUGCCACAUGCCAUGUAAUAAGAUCAGCUUACAUUUAUGUUUUGAAUUAUGAUACAAUGAAAAAUUUGUUCCAUCUUGUCCA